rnacentral:rRNA from 1 species
UGGGGAAUUUUGGACAAUGGGGGAAACCCUGAUCCAGCCAUCCCGCGUGUUCGAUGAAGGCCUUCGGGUUGUAAAGCACUUUUUGCAGGAAAGAAACGUCAUGGGUUAAUACCCCGUGAAACUGACGGUACCUGCAGAAUAAGCACCGGCUAACUACGUGCCAGCAGCCGCGGUAAUACGUAGGGUGCAAGCGUUAAUCGGAAUUACUGGGCGUAAAGCGUGCGCAGGCGGUUCGGAAAGAAAGAUGUGAAAUCCCAGGGCUCAACUUUGGAACUGCAUUUUUAACUACCGGGCUAGAGUGUGUCAGAGGGAGGUGGAAUUCCGCGUGUAGCAGUGAAAUGCGUAGAUAUGCGGAGGAACACCGAUGGCGAAGGCAGCCUCCUGGGAUAACACUGACGCUCAUGCACGAAAGCGUGGGGAGCAAACAGG